UGACCAAUAACUGGAAAACACACUUUCUCUUACUCACUUUCUCUUUUAGCAGAAUUCUCUUAUAAAGAAUCCAAAAUAAAUCAUAAGGAUUUACUGUUAAGUUUGUAAACAUGUUAAAGGGAAGAAGAAAACUAUUGCUUCCACUAUGACAAUGUUCUUCCUUGAAAGGGAAAACCCAGUAUAAAACAAAGCCUGGUCUGGAACCUGGCUAACUUGAUGGUCAAAAUUCCUUCAGUCCAUAAGUAAAUGGCUAAAGGACAGCAGCAGACUUUCUGUGGCUUUUAUUGAUUUUUUUUGCUGUGCACAAUCUAGCUUGCACACAGAGGCAGCUUUUCACUUUAUCUUUCCUCUGUGCUAAUGUAGUGGAAGCCGUUGUACAAAUUACAGCUGAGCUCCUUAAGAUCAAGAUUCAUAGUUAUGGGCUUUGUCAGUGUCUUUAAUUUAAUAAAGUAGGAAUGGUGUAGCUGUCAGACUGAAUGGACAGUGUUCAGAUAAGGAAAGUUCAGCUUUUAAAGAAGCAUCAUGCCACUUAUCUAGCAAAGAACACACGUUGCAUAUAAGAAAAAAGCCAGGUGGGAAGGAGGAUAGAUGGUGCAGCUACAGUAGCACUUAGCAUAGUCCAUGGGAAGAUCUGCUACACCAAGGCUGGCCCAAGGAUAGAGCUGGAGGUCCAGUAUUCAUCAUGCUCCCCUCCUGCAUCGGGGAGAGUUGUCUCAACAGAGUCUUCAUCACACAGAUACCCUAAGUCUGGGAGGAAAUAUCAUCUCUCUGGAAAUCAGCAGAUAAAUAAUAAAUUGUGACAAUAACUCUAACAGGAAAAACACAGUCAAACUCUUGGUCGGCAUUUCUAAGCCUGGAUAUCUACGUCUGAACAGAGUCAUGUUAGACACCUACAAGAAGAACCUGCAUUUCCUCUUUACUCCAUUGGCUUUUAAUGUCAACUCAGCAAGCUUGAAAAUUAGAUUUUUUUAAUAUUUUUUUUUAAGCAUCAUCUCAGGAU
rnacentral:lncRNA from 1 species